UUCCCCUCUUCAUGACUGACUCAUGCUAAUGUGUGGAAAAAUCAUGCUGCCAAAGGCCAGUGUCCACAAAAGAAACAGAAGAGUCCUCAAGAAUCAACUUUAUUCAAAUAAAAAGAGAGUCCACUUAGACAUACCCCUGGGUCAAGAGUGGGGUCUAUCUAGCUUUUGGAGCAUGCAGCCUCUCUUUAUCCUAAAUUCCUGAUCACUUUAUCCAUGUUUCCCAAUUGGCUGAGGUACCCAUACUGCCUAAUACGUAUUCCACCUUUAACAUGUACCUCCCCCUAUAUCAUGUAUCAUAUAAUCAUUAAAAUUAGCUUAAAGCCCUCCCUGGCAGAGAAUUUGCAACUCAAAAGCCUUUUAAGCCUGCACACCCUGUUGGAUUCUGUAACAAACUUGUGCAGUUUGAUGUUUGUAAAGACCCUCACCCCUAUUCUUCCAGAAUGUGGUUGCUUCUUUAAGGCUACCUAUUUUCAGAAUGUGGUUGCUUCUUUAAGGCUACCUAUUUCCAGAGUUUGUUUGUGUAGGCCACCCACACCUCUUCUCCUAUUACUAACCAGACAGGAACUGGAAUGAAUUUUCCUCAUUACCUGGCAGCCUGUGGGUCUUCCUUGUAUUGAAGACUAUACAAAGUCUUCUUUGUACAAAAGACUGCCCUUUCCAGAGGGAAAAGGGAAUAGUAAGGGUAAAAAAAACAAACAAAACAAAACAAAAUAGUGGGAGGGCUUUUGGGCAUCACUGCUGUGAUGGGCUUAGGAAGGAAGAUGCUGUCAAAUAGCUCUGCCCUCUGGAACAAAGAGAGGGAGAGAGGAUAGCAAGGCAGUUGAUGGUAUUGGAAAAGAAAUAUGCAGCCUUUGCCCCAUGACCUGAUACUUUUUCAUUCAGGGCAGAACAUUUACCGUGCACACAAAGCCCAGCCAGUGCUGGUAAUCAGUACCUAACCUUCACGACUGUGGACUCCACCCCCAUACCCCCAACAGAACACUUACACUCUCAGCCUAGAAAAGACUAAAAUAUCAACAAGCACUCCCCUUGUCCCUUCCUUGGAUACAGUGCUACCUCUCAGAAGACACAGUCUAGAAAUAAAUUAUUAUGGUAAGCAGGAUAUAGACA
rnacentral:lncRNA from 1 species